rfam:Yarrowia lipolytica complete mitochondrial genome, strain W29
GUUCGCAUAACUUAAAUGGUUAGAGUGACAAUUUGAAGCAUUGUAUGUCUAGGUUCAAUUCCUGGUGUGGACA